rnacentral:rRNA from 1 species
AGAGUUUGAUCCUGGCUCAGAUUGAACGCUGGCGGCAGGCCUAACACAUGCAAGUCGAGCGGUUGAGAGAAGCUUGCUUCUCUUGAGAGCGGCGGACGGGUGAGUAAUGCCUAGGAAUCUGCCUGGUAGUGGGGGAUAACGUCCGGAAACGGACGCUAAUACCGCAUACGUCCUACGGGAGAAAGCAGGGGACCUUCGGGCCUUGCGCUAUCAGAUGAGCCUAGGUCGGAUUAGCUAGUUGGUGAGGUAAUGGCUCACCAAGGCGACGAUCCGUAACUGGUCUGAGAGGAUGAUCAGUCACACUGGAACUGAGACACGGUCCAGACUCCUACGGGAGGCAGCAGUGGGGAAUAUUGGACAAUGGSCGAAAGCCUGAUCCAGCCAUGCCGCGUGUGUGAAGAAGGUCUUCGGAUUGUAAAGCACUUUAAGUUGGGAGGAAGGGCAGUUGCCUAAUACGUAACUGUUUUGACGUUACCGACAGAAUAAGCACCGGCUAACUCUGUGCCAGCAGCCGCGGUAAUAC